rnacentral:rRNA from 1 species
GAUGAACGCUGACAGAAUGCUUAACACAUGCAAGUCGACUGUGGCGGACGGGUGAGUAACGCGUAAAGAACUUGCCUCACAGAUAGGGACAACCUUUGGAAACGAAUGCUAAUACCUGAAACUGUGAGAGAGCUUUGCGUCCCAUUAGCUAGUUGGAGAGGUAACGGCUCACCAAGGCGAGGAUGGGUAGCCGGCCUGAGAGGGUGAUCGGCCACAAGGGGACUCGGGAGCCAGCCGUACGCAUCCGGGAGGCAGCAGCGGGAGAGUGUGGAAGAUGUACCAAAGUCUGAUCAAGCAAUUCUGUGUGCACAAUGAAUUUUUCGGAAUGUAGAGUGCUUUCAGUUGAGAAGCGGUACCAACAGAAGAAGCGACGGCUAAAUACGUGCCAGCAGCCGCGGUAAUAC